GAGAGUUAGUCGGGGGGCAUUACGCUGAGAUCACAAUUAAGUGGGACCCGUUGAACCUGAACCAGUUAGCACUGGCGGAGGGAACUAAAUAAACAAUAUC
rnacentral:ncRNA from 2 species